rnacentral:rRNA from 3 species
AUAAAAAACCAAUGCCCUUCGGGGCUCCUUGGUGAUUCAUGAUAACUUCUCAGAUCGCAUGGCUUUACGCCGGCGACGGUUCAUUCAAAUUUCUGCCCUAUCAACUUUCGAUGGUAAGGUAUUGGCUUACCAUGGUUUCAACGGGUAACGGGGAAUUAGGGUUCGAUUCCGGAGAGGGAGCCUGAGAAACGGCUACCACAUCCAAGGAAGGCAGCAGGCGCGCAAAUUACCCAAUUCCGAUACGGAGAGGUAGUGACAAUAAAUACUGAUACAGGGCUCUUUUGGGUCUUGUAAUUGGAAUGAGUACAAUUUAAACCUCUUAACGAGGAACAAUUGGAGGGCAAGUCUGGUGCCAGCAGCCGCGGUAAUUCCAGCUCCAAUAGCGUAUAUUAAAGUUGUUGCAGUUAAAAAGCUCGUAGUUGAACCUUUGGCCUGGCUGGCAGGUCCGCCUCACCGCGUGCACUUGUCCGGCCGGGCCUUUUCUUCUGGAGAACCGCAUGCCCUUCACUGGGUGUGU